rnacentral:rRNA from 1 species
GACGAACGCUGGCGGCGUGCUUAACACAUGCAAGUCGAACGGAAAGGCCCUGCUUUUGUGGGGUGCUCGAGUGGCGAACGGGUGAGUAACACGUGAGUAACCUGCCCUUGACUUUGGGAUAACUUCAGGAAACUGGGGCUAAUACCGGAUAGGAGCUCCUGCUGCAUGGUGGGGGUUGGAAAGUUUCGGCGGUUGUGGAUGGACUCGCGGCUUAUCAGCUGGUUGGUGGGGUAGUGGCUUACCAAGGCUUUGACGGGUAGCCGGCCUGAGAGGGUGAACGGCCACAUUGGGCCUGAGGUACGCCCCAGACUCCUACGGGAGGCAGCGGUGGGGAAUAUUGCAGAAUGGGGGGACGCCUGAUGCAGCAACGCCGCGUGCGGGAUGACGGCUUUCGGGUUAUAAACCGCUUUCGCCUGUGACGAAGCGUGAGUGACGGUAAUGGGUAAAGAAGCACCGGCUAACUACGUG